AUGGAGGAGACCCUGCAAGGGCGCGUCACCGGCCAGGACGAGGCUGUCAGGGCCAUAGGCUGCGCCAUCCGCCGUCCGCACGUUGGGCUCAGGAACCCCAACCGGCCGGUGGCCAGCUUCAAUUUCGCCAGCCCGACGGGCGUGGGCAAGUCGGAGCUUGCCAAGGCGCUGGCAACCAGCUACUACGGCUCAGAGGAGGCCAUGGUCUGGCUGGACGUGAGUGAGUUCAUGGAGCAGCACACGGUGGCCCAUGGAGCAGCACACGGUGGCCAAGCUCAUCGGCUCCCCUCUCGGCUACGUCAGCUGACGGCUCGAAGAUAA
rnacentral:rRNA from 1 species